rnacentral:rRNA from 1 species
CUGGCGGCACGCCUAACACAUGCAAGUCGAACGCAGUAGCAAUACUGAGUGGCAAACGGGUGAGUAUAAUGUGGGAAUCUGCCUUUUGGUUUGGAAUAGCACGGGGAAACUUGUGCUAAUACCGAAUAAGCCUUUACAGGGAAAGUUUUAAUGCCGAAAGAUGAGCCCGCACUUGAUUAGAUAGUUGGUAAGGUAAAAGCUUACCAAGGCAACGAUCAAUAGCUGUUCUUAGAGGAAGACCAGCCACAUUGGGACUGAGACACGGCCCAGACUCGUACGGGAGGCAGCAGUGGGGAAUCUUGCACAAUGGGGGAAACCCUGAUGCAGCGAUGCCGCGUGAGUGAAGAAGGCCCUUGGGUUGUAAAACUCUUUCGUCGGGGAAGAAAAUGACUGUACCCGAAUAAGAAGGUCCGGCUAACU